rnacentral:rRNA from 1 species
AACGAGAAUCACUGGAAGGAGUUUUCGGACAACGGAAGGUGAGGACAGUGGCGGACGGGUGAGUAACGCGUGAGGAACCUGCCUUUCAGAGGGGGACAACAGUUGGAAACGACUGCUAAUACCGCAUGACACAUAGAGAUCGCAUGGUUUUUAUGUCAAAGAUUUAUCGCUGAAAGAUGGCCUCGCGUCUGAUUAGCUAGUUGGUGAGGUAACGGCCCACCAAGGCGACGAUCAGUAGCCGGACUGAGAGGUUGACCGGCCACAUUGGGACUGAGAUACGGCCCAGACUCCUACGGGAGGCAGCAGUGGGGAAUAUUGGGCAAUGGGCGCAAGCCUGACCCAGCAACGCCGCGUGAAGGAAGAAGGCUUUCGGGUUGUAAACUUCUUUUGUCGGGGACGAGUAGAAGACGGUACCUGGCGAAUAAGCCACGGCUAACUACGUGCCAGCAGCCGCGGUAAUACGUAGGUGGCAAGCGUUGUCCGGAUUUACUGGGUGUAAAGGGCGUGUAGCCGGGAAGGCAAGUCAGAUGUGAAAUCCACGGGCUUAACUCGUGAACUGCAUUUGAAACUACUUUUCUUGAGUAUCGGAGAGGCAAUCGGAAUUCCUAGUGUAGCGGUGAAAUGCGUAGAUAUUAGGAGGAACACCAGUGGCGAAGGCGGAUUGCUGGACGACAACUGACGGUGAGGCGCGAAAGCGUGGGGAGCAAACAGGAUUAGAUAUCCUGGUAGUCC